GGCUUGGUGGAUCAUUCAGGAGCUCAAGGUAAAACCAGAGAACUCUGCAGAGAUAGUCUGCUAGCAAUUACACGGAGGACUUCCUUAACAUAGGAGGGUUUUGUAUGACUGGAUGUGUUUUUAAAAGAUACACAGUAAUUCAAACAGAAGUUAUGGGCUUGAUGCAGAAAUUACUGGACUGAGCCCCUGUUUCUCUUGUGAACCAAAGUGGUCUUCCUAAUUUGAGUUCUGGCUGACUGUGUCCACUCCUAAUUAAAGGCAUGUGCUGGUUCAAGGGGAUUAGAAAACGGAUCUCAUGACCAACAGUGGGUUACUCAGAUCCAGAUAACUCUUUCAUCCAAGAGUUUUAAAAGAGCUGGCUGGGGAGCUUGCUGAACUGUUCCUGUUAAUUUUCAAAAAGUCUUGGAAAACUGAGGAAGUUCUAGAAGAUUGGAAGAAAUCUAAUGUUGUGCCAAUAUUUAAAAAGUAUAAACAGAAUGACUCAGAUCAAUCCUCCAUCUUUCUCCGUCACCCAGAAGCCACAGCCUUGGUACUUGAAUGACAUAACUGCAAGCAAAUAUCAUUACAGACUUCAUUCUUGAUCUGUGUGCCAUCUACAGGUCAGGUUUGGUAGUUCUUUGAGUAAACAUUGACAGUGGGAUCUGAGAAGUCAUGUGAAUUCAUAGGCAGUACCUACUUUGGUUAUGAUUUUUGUAAUUCACUCACCCCUGCUGUAAACCUUUCCAGAGAAGUUUGCAGACAACUAAUGUUUGAAUCUUGGAGGGUUGUAGGUCAACUCUUGGAACCAUUUGUGAAUAAUGAAGCACUGCUUCUUUGAAAUCAGCAUGCACGUUCUUGAAACCAGCCACCUGAAAAUCCAGAGCGGAUAAUGCUUUCCCAUGUUAUCAUCUACAAUGUACCUGGUCUUACCCCCAAAGUGAAGUUGAGAAAAAAGCAUCAUUUCAGACAUUUUAAAAACUAGACUGGUCAAAGCUUAGAAAUUAUACAGUAAAGCACCAACCUGCACUGGUAGGGAGAAUGAUCAAAUGCCAUAAGAGGGCUUUUCUCUUUCCCCCCCCGCCCCCUUUACUUAUAUGCUGCCCUUUGUUUAUUUUUUCCACACCGGUCAAUUUCGCUUUGUAGUCCACAUCACUCUCUAGUUCUCAUGUGCUAGCAUAAAGAUGUUAUUUGGGUUACCCAAACUACUAAAGAAUACUUACACUGAUGGUUUUGGAUUUUAAAUUAUUAUUUUUAUUCCAAUUUUGAAUGUGUAACCCCUUUAUUUUUCUAGAAAACUAAAACCUUGUGCCUGAUCUACAGUACUUGUGCCAGUAUUGCCUCUUUUUCUUAUUACUGUAUUGGAUUAGCUAAUACAGUAUACAGCUGUCAUUGUAAAAUGCUUGAAGUAUAACCCAUUGGCCUGUUACUUGAACUACCACACUAUCUUGUACCUUGAUACAAAAAAUGAGCUGUAAAAGAUUAACAUUACUGUACUGUAUUAGGUGACCCUGGUGCAAUACCUAUGAGAUACAAUGAACAAGAUAAACAUG